ACUCCUACGGGAGGCAGCAGUGGGGAAUAUUGGACAAUGGGGGGAACCCGUGAUCCAGCCAUGCCGCGUGUGUGAAGAAGGCCUUAUGGUUGUAAAGCACUUUAAGCGAGGAGGAGGCUACUGAGACUAAUACUCUUGGAUAGUGGACGUUACUCGCAGAAUAAGCACCGGCUAACUCUGUGCCAGCAGCCGCGGUAAUACAGAGGGUGCGAGCGUUAAUCGGAUUUACUGGGCGUAAAGCGUGCGUAGGCGGCUUUUAAGUCGGAUGUGAAAUCCCCGAGCUUAACUUGGGAAUUGCAUUCGAUACUGGGAAGCUAGAGUAUGGGAGAGGAUGGUAGAAUUCCAGGUGUAGCGGUGAAAUGCGUAGAGAUCUGGAGGAAUACCGAUGGCGAAGGCAGCCAUCUGGCCUAAUACUGACGCUGAGGUACGAAAGCAUGGGAGCAAACAGGAUUAGAUACCCCUGGUAGGAUAGCG
rnacentral:rRNA from 1 species